rnacentral:rRNA from 1 species
ACUCCUACGGGAGGCAGCAGUGAGGAAUAUUGGUCAAUGGUCGCAAGACUGAACCAGCCAUGCCGCGUGCAGGAAGACGGUCCUAUGGAUUGUAAACUGCUUUUAUACAGGAAGAAACCCCUCCCACGUGUGGGAGCUUGACGGUACUGUAGGAAUAAGGAUCGGCUAACUCCGUGCCAGCAGCCGCGGUAAUACGGAGGAUCCAAGCGUUAUCCGGAAUCAUUGGGGUUUAAAGGGUCCGUAGGCGGCCUUAUAAGUCAGUGGUGAAAGCCCAUCGCUCAACGAUGGAACUGCCAUUGAUACUGUAAGGCUUGAAUUAUUGUGAAGUAACUAGAAUAUGUAGUGUAGCGGUGAAAUGCUUAGAUAUUACAUGGAAUACCAAUUGCGAAGGCAGGUUACUAACAAUGGAUUGACGCUGAUGGACGAAAGACGUGGGGUAGGCGAACAGGAUUAG